AGAGUUUGAUCCUGGCUCAGGAUGAACGCUAGCGGCAGGCUUAACACAUGCAAGUCGAGGGGCAGCAUAAUGGAUAGCAAUAUCUAUGGUGGCGACCGGCGCACGGGUGCGUAACGCGUAUGCAACCUACCUUUAACAGGGGGAUAACACUGAGAAAUUGGUACUAAUACCCCAUAAUAUCAUAGAAGGCAUCUUUUAUGGUUGAAAAUUCCGAUGGUUAGAGAUGGGCAUGCGUUGUAUUAGCUAGUUGGUGGGGUAACGGCUCACCAAGGCGACGAUACAUAGGGGGACUGAGAGGUUGACCCCCCANACUGGUACUGAGACACGGACCAGACUCCUAGGGAGGCA
rnacentral:rRNA from 1 species